UACGUAGGGUGCGAGCGUUAAUCGGAAUUACUGGGCGUAAAGCGUGCGCAGGCGGCUUUGCAAGACAGAUGUGAAAUCCCCGGGCUCAACCUGGGAACUGCAUUUGUGACUGCAAGGCUAGAGUACGGCAGAGGGGGAUGGAAUUCCGCGUGUAGCAGUGAAAUGCGUAGAUAUGCGGAGGAACACAAAUGGCGAAGGCAAUCCCCUGGGCCGGUACUGACGCUAAUGCAGGAAAGCGUGGGAGCAAACAGG
rnacentral:rRNA from 1 species